rnacentral:rRNA from 1 species
AUUGAACGCUGGCGGCAGGCCUAACACAUGCAAGUCGAGCGGAUGACGGGAGCUUGCUCCUCGAUUCAGCGGCGGACGGGUGAGUAAUACCUAGGAAUCUGCCUGAUAGUGGGGGACAACGUUUCGCAAGGAACGCUAAUACCGCAUACGUCCUACGGGAGAAAGCAGGGGACCUUCGGGCCUUGCGCUAUCAGAUGAGCCGAGGUCGGAUUAGCUAGUUGGUGAGGUAAUGGCGCACCAAGGCGACGAUCCGUAACUGGUCUGAGAGGAUGAUCAGUCACACUGGAACUGAGACACGGUCCAGACUCCUACGGGAGGCAGCAGUGGGGAAUAUUGGACAAUGGGCGAAAGCCUGAUCCAGCCAUGCCGCGUGUGUGAAGAAGGUCUUCGGAUUGUAAAGCACUUUAAGUUGGGAGGAAGGGCAGUAAGCUAAUACCUUGCUGUUUUGACGUUACCGACAGAAUAAGCACCGGCUAACUCUGUGCCAGCCGCCGCGGUAAGAC